rnacentral:tRNA from 1 species
UAGCUCAUGUGCUGGUUAGAGCGCCGUCCUGAUAAGACGGAGGUGCCGGGUUCGACCCCCGGGGAGUCAAC